UCUCGGCGUUGGCCGGGGCUGCGGCCUGGUCCGCGGUGUGGACGAACAUCUUGGUGGGGAUGCAGCCCACGUUCAGGCACGUGCCGCCGAAGG
rnacentral:tRNA from 1 species